ACUCCUACGGGAGGCAGCAGUGGGGAAUAUUGCACAAUGGGGGAAACCCUGAUGCAGCCAUGCCGCGUGUGUGAAGAAGGCCUUCGGGUUGUAAAGCACUUUCAGUAGGGAGGAAGGUAGUGUAGUUAACAACCUGGCGCACUUAUUGACUGUACCUACAGAAGAAGCACCGGCUAACUCCGUGCCAGCAGCCGCGGUAAUACGGAGGGUGCGAGCGUUAAUCGGAAUUACUGGGCGUAAAGCGCAUGCAGGCGGCCUGUUAAGUCAGAUGUGAAAGCCCGGGCU
rnacentral:rRNA from 1 species